rnacentral:rRNA from 1 species
CGAACGGGUGAGUAACACGUGAGUAACCUGCCCCAGACUCUGGGAUAACUUCGGGAAACCGUGGCUAAUACCGGAUAUGACAUCAACUCGCAUGGGUAUGGUGUGGAAAGUUUUUCGGUCUGGGAUGGACUCGCGGCCUAUCAGCUUGUUGGUGAGGUAGUGGCUUACCAAGGCGACGACGGGUAGCCGGCCUGAGAGGGCGACCGGCCACACUGGGACUGAGACACGGCCCAG